AGCGAAAUAAGUCUAAAAGUAAUAAAAUUAUUUUAAAAUUGUAUAGUUUUAGUAGAAUGAAUCGAAAUAAUAACAAUAAAGAGUAAUAGAAAAGAGUACUGUAAAGGAAAGGUGAAAUAAAUUGAAAAAGAAAUUAAUAGAAAGUAAUAAUAAAAAUUUGUACCUUGUGUAUUAGGGAAAAUCAAAAUUGGUUUACUAUUUAAAAGAUCCCGAAAAAAGAAGAGCUAACAGAAUCUGGUAGUUUUCGUUUUAAUGAAAUUACGAAGUUUAUGUUAGUAGUGAAAUGCUAGACGAUUCUUUAUAUCUGGUUGUUAGCGAAUUAAAUUAAAUUUAGUUAUUUUUGGUUGGUAUAAAUAAACUAAAAAAUAAAAAAGAGCAGAAGGGAAAAGCUUUUUGUUCUAACAUAAAGAUACCAUAAUAUAAGCUGUAAUAUCAUUGAAUUAGGCUUGAAAACAGCCAUAUUUAUAAAACGUUCUAGUUAAUACGAGCAAGAAACUAUUAUUUUUAUUAAUAGCAUUUGGUAAAAAGUAGCUAACAUUUUUUAUUAAUAUAAAAUGAAAAGUUAUAAUGAUUUUAUUAGUAGAAAUAAUUGUGUAAAAUGAAAAGUAAAAUAAUAGCGAGAUUAUUGAAUAGUAAAAGGUAUAGCUAAGGAACUCGGCAAACACUGCUUUUGCCUGUUUAUCAAAAACAUGUCUAUAUGAUUGUUAUAUAAAGUCUAGCCUGCCCACUGAUUUGGUUUAAAGGGCCGCGGUAUAUUGACCGUGCGAAGGUAGCAUAAUCAUUAGUCUUUUAAUUGGAGGCUUGUAUGAAUGGUUGGACAAAAAGUAAGCUGUCUCAGCUAUAAUGAUUGAACUUAACUUUUGAGUGAAAAGGCUCAAAUAGUUCAGGGGGACGAUAAGACCCUAUAAAGCUUGACAAUAACUUCGUUAAAUUGUAAAUUGUUAGUGUAACUUGAUUUUAACUAGGGUUUGUUUCGUUGGGGCGACGGGAAUAUAAUAAAUAACUGUUCUUUUAAGUAUAGUUACAAAAAUGCUUGGUGAAUAAUUGAUCCUCUACUAGAGAUUAAAAGAUAAAGUUACUUUAGGGAUAACAGCGUAAUCUUCUUUGAGAGUCCACAUCGACAAGAAGGUUUGCGACCUCGAUGUUGAAUUAAGGUAUCCUUAUAAUGCAGCAGUUAUAAAGGAGGGUCUGUUCGACCUUUAAAUCCUUACAUGAUUUGAGUUCAGACCGGCGUGAGCCAGGUCGGUUUCUAUCUCCUGAUUUUGAAAAGGUUAUCUUAGUACGAAAGGAUUGGGUAGUCGGAAUAAUUUUUAGAGGGAAAGAUUGGUUUUAAUCG
rnacentral:rRNA from 1 species